ACAGCAGUCGCCGCGGUAAUACAGAGGGUGCGAGCGUUAAUCGGAUUUACUGGGCGUAAAGCGUGCGUAGGCGGCUUUUUAAGUCGGAUGUGAAAUCCCUGAGCUUAACUUAGGAAUUGCAUUCGAUACUGGGAAGCUAGAGUAUGGGAGAGGAUGGUAGAAUUCCAGGUGUAGCGGUGAAAUGCGUAGAGAUCUGGAGGAAUACCGAUGGCGAAGGCAGCCAUCUGGCCUAAUACUGACGCUGAGGUACGAAAGCAUGGGGAGCAAACAGGAUUAGAGACCCCAGUAGUCCCUGUCUCUUAUAA
rnacentral:rRNA from 1 species